GCCAAAAACCCUAAUAUAUAUAUAAACUCCUCUGCCCUCCGGUGUCACAAAGUCGUCUGCUCUACAGCUUUCAAACUCAUCUCCUCUCCGGCAUCCCUAGUCAUCUCCUGUACAGCUUCUCAACUUGUCUCCUCUCUGGCACUCAAAAUCUCGGCGAAGUCUCCAUAACUUGUCUUCAAAUCGUUGUUGCAUCGAACUAUUUGUCUUCAUCAGACUUCGAUACAAAGAUGUCUUGCACAAAACUGUGAGGCUGCUCGUAAAAGCCGAUUGUGGAAAAGUUAUGAUGAGGCGUGAUUUGAACAGAUUCCCUAACAGGCAACAAGUGGGUUUGUAUAUAGGUCGUGGCUUAGAAAGUUCUGAGAUGGCUGUAAACCCAGGAAUUGUAGUGUUUGAGAAUGGAGUAUGGACACUGGGUUGAAGAGCAAACAAGUCAAAUUUGUGAAAUGAGGUCUGCUUUGCAGGCCCAUAUUAAUGAUAUGGAGCUUCACAUACUAGUGGAGGGUGGCUUGAGCCAUUAUUUUAAACUUUUCCUCAUGAAAUCUAAUGGUGCAAAAGCCCAUGUUUUCUAUAUAAUGUCUGGCAUGUGGAAGAUAGCAGCUGAACGUUUUUUCUUUUGGAUUGGAGGAUUUCACCCUUCUGAGCUUCUUAAGAUACAAAGACAGUUUUCCAGUAGUUCCUGUUGCUUAUAAAUCACUACCUUUUGUCAUUUCAUGUUUUUGCAAUCAACAAAAAGUCCUCAACAAAAAGUCCUCACCAAGGUUUGUGCAAGAAUUGCUGCAUUUGAGAUGGAGUAUGGACACUGCGUUGAAGUGCAAACAAGGCAAAUUUGUGAACUGAGGUCUGCUUUGCAGGCCGAUAUUAGUGAUAUAGAGCUUCACAUAUGUUAGGUCUCGGGUGUAUGUAUCUUGCAAAAUGAAGAAGCAGCUAAGAAGAAUGGAGAACAGCAGCAGUAAGUUGCAUAGCAGCAAGGGAGAGGAAAAUAUUUUAGCUAGCAACAAAGGAUUGGAGCAAUUGGCAAACCAAAAUGUGCAUGGGCAUUUUGAGGCAAUAAGGACACGUGGCACUAUGAAGAGAGAGGGGGAAUUGGCGAGGAACAAAAAGGAUGGAAAUCAGUCUGAGAGUGGGAAGCAGAAAAUUAACUAAGUGUGGUUGAGUGAGAGAGCACAGGCCUCUCGAAAUGCCUGAGGAUCUCGGAUUUUCUUCUUCCAUUUGGGUAUUCAGUAUGUUGCUCUUAUUUUCAUUUUAUUAAUCAAAGUUGUAAUGAACGUUUCCAACUUUAUUAUGGAAUUUCAGUAAUGCAGAAAAGAGAUGUUUAUUUCCA